UUUCUCAACACUGCAGAGUAAAAAACGUGCGUUUUGCGUGGUAAAUUAUUAUUGUUGUGAAAAUUAACAAAUAAACCAAAUAAAAGAUGCCACAGGGUAAAUUUAAGAAGGCAAAGAUGCCGGCGUCCAUUCAAAACAAAAAGAAGCAGCAGAAACAAGCGGCGUUUACUCGGAGAUCAAAUGCGCCCAUACAAGCCAAGAAAGGCAAAUUCAAUGAAACACAAAAGAUAAAGGCGGUUAUAUCGAAAUCUGUAAACAAAAGCGUUGAAACUGAGUUGCGCUCCCGCGCCCAUGAGGGCUACAUACAGCUAAGCAAAGCCCAGGAGGCUGUGGCAAAGCAUCAUGCAACGAAAGCAGCGGCAGCGGCUGCAGCCAGCACUAGCAAUGCUGCAGAAUAGUCUUGUUAGAUAUUUGCAGUUUAACUUCCGGCGGCUGCUAAAAACGGAAGAAAACAAAAUCUGUUGCGAUUGCAAAAAAGCCUGCAGCGGAUGUUGUCAGUGGUGCGCGCAGCUGCCUGCCAAACUGCAAUUGUCAUCAAUACGCAGCAACAACAAUAAAAGGAGCAACAACAAAUAACAGGCUAAGGACUACAAAGCCAAUUCAUAAAAACAAAAGCAAAGCGCGUUUUUCCAUAACGGAUGUAAAUAAACCACAAGAGAUCGAUUACUAUACGCAGGACUCUCGCUAUCUCGCCUGCCUGCUGCCAGGACAACAACAGAUGCGCAAACAGCUCACUGCAAAAUGUGUUUGUUGCAGCGAACGCACUGCAUCGGUCAGAACUUCAUUAUGGACGAUAUAAUUCGCCUACUACAAUGGAGUCUACAUCCUGCACAGAUACUGAAGCCAUCCGGAUCCAUGGCUUAGGACUACAACAUCAGAUAUCAGUGGCAAUAACAACAACAAGAACUGCGAGUCCUGCUUAACGAGAUGAUGAUAUAUAUA